GCAGCCCGCGCCCGCCCGCCGCAAGUUUGUUCCCCGCCGCUGCGGCCUGCGCGGAGAGAGGAUCGCGCGCGGGGAGGCGCCGAGGGGCAGCAAGAGUGGAGAAAGUGCGGAAAGAAGCAACAGCCGCUCCACCCGCGGGCGGAAAAGUGGCCGGGCGCGGCGGCGGGAUGCGGCGCAGCUAACGGUCCCGGGCGGCCGCCGGAGCCGCUAGGCGCAGAGGCAGCUCACAAGUGUAGGGCUGGAGCUACAGGAACCAUCCAGGUGCACUGGCUUUGCCUCUGCAUCUUUCUGUGCCACUGUCUCAUUCUGUUUCCGGCUGUGCAUGGAUGUGGAUGGCCCAGAAAGAGAGAGAACACGAAGGAGAAGGUUAGAGACCUGUGGUUCCACCAAGCUCUUGCUUGGCUAUUAAUUGCAUCCAGCUAUGUUGGUGCUGUAAUAGUCCCACCUGGGGUCAUUGUUAAUAACACUCAUUAAGAACUGAGUGUGGAUACUUUGCCCCUUCUUAGAAUUGGGCACAAAACACCCAUGGAAGGAGUUACAGAGACAAAGUUUGGAGCUGAGACAAAAUAAUGGACCAUCNAGAGACUGCCNNANCCGGGGAUCCAUCCCAUAAUCAGCNNCCAAACNCNGACACNAUUGCAUNCNCNAGCAAGAUUUUGCUGAAAGGACCCUGAUAUAGCUGUCUCUUGUGAGGCUAUGCCAGUGCCUGGCAAACACAGAAGUGGAUUCGCACAGUCAGCUAUAGGAUGGAACACAGGGUCCCCAAUGGAGGAUCUAGAGAAAGUACCCAAGGAGCUGAAGGGGUCUGCAACCCUAUAGGUGGAACAACAAUAUGAAUUAACCAGUACCCCAAGAGCUCGUGUCUCUAGCUGCAUAUGUAGCAGAAGAUGGCCUAGUUGGCCAUCAUUGGGAAGAGAGGCCCCUUGGUCUUGCAAACUUUAUAUGCCCCAGUACAGGGGAACACCAGGGCCAAGAAGUGGGAGUGGGUGGGUAGGGGAGUCGGGGAGUGGGUAUAGGGGACUUUCAGGAUAGCAUUUGAAAUGUAAAUGAAGAAAAUACCUAAUAAAAAUUGGAAAAAGGAAAAAAACGAAUUAGGAAGCUAACAUAUUGUUAUAAAAGUGCAAUAGCAACAGUUUAAAGGGUGUUGUGUUCUUUGCUAAUUAGGAUUUCACUUGAUCUCCAUAACAGUACAAUGACUGGAAGAUCCCUCGGAAACUGCGGGUCUUAGAGGUUACUUAACCAAUCUGUGCAGCCUAGGGUGGUCAGGGAUGGGGACACAGUGUGCUGUUGGGUUGAGGCGACUACAACCCUGGCCUUAACGGACAUCUAAACUAUUUAACCCAAAGUGAUUUGGGCUAGUUAUGGAAAGUGAAGUGUGUAACAGGGCUGACCAAGUGCAGACACCAUGUGUCUGGGUGAGAACUUGUCAUUUAAUGGUUUAGUGUCCUUUGCCUUGUUUAUUUCUCCUGAUCUCUGAAGUUAAGAGCUGCCCAGGUGGUACAAGGCAAGUCAUACCUCAAGGUUAUUGAUAGGGAAGUAGAUAUUGUUAGCUUAGAAGGUAGAUAUCUGCCCAGCUCUGGUACUUUAAAGGCAUAUUAUAAAUAUAAAGGUUUUUAAAUCUUUUAUCUGGGAACUGAACAAUCAAAGGUGGGGUUAGAGAUUAUUACCACACUUGAUCCUCCAUUCUUCAUGAAAUACAUCCCCUCUAAACCUGGAGGACUCAUCCUUGCUUGGCUUCUCUGACAUUCUCAAGCAGCUCCUUGUCAGGCCCUCUUAGUUGUUGACCUCCCUAAACUGCAUGCCAGAGAGCCAGGAUCUGCCCCAGAUUCUUUAUAUUUUCUCUCUCCACUUCGUUUUUCUGUUUUUGUGUUUCUCAUCUUCAUACCAGAGACUUAAUAUCUGCCUGCCAAUGAAUUAUAUCUAAGUUCUUAAGAUGGCCUUCAGCACCUACAAUUGCCCCACCUUAGAUGAUAUACUCUUUCUUUCCUGUCCUUCACUCUUUCCUAGCUGCACCAGCCUUGUGCCAUUCCUUGAAAUGCCAGACACAUUCCUACCUUGGCACAAAAGCCUACUUCUAAAUCCAAAUUGGAAUGCUCUCAUAAAAAUGUGGUACCUUGAUCAAUACGAAUUUUUAAAUGCUCUUAUUAAAGGAAUUCAUAAUGUAA
ensembl:processed_transcript